rnacentral:rRNA from 1 species
CAGCCGCCGCGGGAAUACGGAGGGCGCAAGCGUUAAUCGGAAUUACUGGGCGUAAAGCGCACGCAGGCGGUCUGUCAAGUCAGAUGUGAAAUCCCCGGGCUUAACCUGGGAACUGCAUUUGAAACUGGCAGGCUAGAGUCUUGUAGAGGGGGGUAGAAUUCCAGGUGUAGCGGUGAAAUGCGUAGAGAUCUGGAGGAAUACCGGUGGCGAAGGCGGCCCCCUGGACAACACUGACGCUGAGGCACGAAAGCGUGGGGAGCAAACAGGAUUAGAUACCCCGGUAGUCCCUGUCUCUUAUACA